ensembl:snRNA U6 U6 spliceosomal RNA
GUGCUCGCUUUGGGAGCACAUAUACUAAAAUUGGAAUGAUACAGAGAAGAUUAGCAUCGGCCCUGCACAAAAAUUAUUUUUAAAAAUUAAAAUUUUAAAAAAUGAAG